AAGAACCCGAGAGCUUCCGAUAUUCUGGAACAGACUAGCAAAGGGCGAUAAUUUUCAUACAGGCUGGACAACAAAACGACACAAUGAGCGACCUUACACUCUACUAUUUUCCAGCAUCGUAUUAUUCGCAAAGGGCUUUGUUGGCACUGUAUGAAAAAGAUGCCAAGUUUAAACACCAGGUGGUGUUUAUACAUGAUGGA